rnacentral:rRNA from 1 species
GAUGAACGCUGGCGGCGUGCCUAAUACAUGCAAGUCGAGCGAACAGACGAUCAGCUUGUUCCUCUGACGUUAGCGGCGGACGGGUGAGUAACACGUGGAUAACCUACCUAUAAGACUGGGAUAACUUCGGGAAACCGGAGCUAAUACCGGAUAAUAUAGUCAACCGCAUGGUUCAAUAGUGAAAGACGGUUUUGUUGUCACUUAUAGAUGGAGCCGCGUCGCAUUAGCUAGUUGGUAAGGUAACGGCUUACCAAGGCGACGAUGCGUAGCCGAUCUGAGAGGGUGAUCAGCCACACCGGAACUGAGACGCGGCACAGACUCCUACGGGAGGCAGCAGUGGGGAAUCUUCCGCAAUGGGCGAAAGCCUGACGGAGCAACGCCGCGUGGGUGAUGAAGGUCUUCGGAUAGUAAAACUCUGUUAUUAGGGAAGAACAAAAGUGUGAGUAACUAUAGACGUCUUGACGGUACCUAAUCAAAAAGCAACGGCUAACUACGUG